rnacentral:misc_RNA from 1 species
GAUGAAGAACGUAGCGAAAUGCGAUAAGUAAUGUGAAUUGCAGAAUUCAGUGAAUCAUCGAAUCUUUGAACGCACAUUGCGCCCGCUAGUAUUCUGGCGGGCAUGCCUGUCCGAGCGUCAUUUCAACCCUCAAGCCCCCGGGCUUGGUGUUGGGGAUCGGCGAGCCUCCGCGCCCGCCGUCCCCUAAAUCUAGUGGCGGUCUCGCUGUAGCUUCCUCUGCGUAGUAGCACACCUCGCACUGGGAAACAGCGCGGCCACGCCGUUAAACCCCCAACUUCUGAACGUUUGACCUCGGAUCAGGUAGGAAUACCCGCUGAACUUAAGCAUAUCAAUAAGCGGACGA